rnacentral:rRNA from 1 species
ACGAACGCUGGCGGCGUGCUUAACACAUGCAAGUCGAGCGGUAAGGCCCUUCGGGGUACACGAGCGGCGAACGGGUGAGUAACACGUGGGUGACCUGCCCUCCCACUUCGGGAGUAAGCCCGGGAAACCGUGGGUCUAAUACCGGACAGGACCAUUGCAUGCAUGUGCGGUGGUGGAAAGCCUGUGUCUUGAUUGAUGCUGGCGGUGGGGGAUGGGCCCGCGGUCUAUCAGCUUGNGGUGGGGUGAU